ensembl:lncRNA
GCUGACUGAUUUAUACAUAAUAAUGAGUAGUAAUUUAUGAUGUAAGGUGGUUUGUCGAUCAGUCAGUCGCCUGCAGUGUCGAACAAGCCCAAUACCAAAUCAAUCAGGUGGUUGUUCGAUGAAAUGAAGCUUCAGACGUCAUUGAUCACGUGCUGCUCAUAAAGUGAUACAGGCAUCGGCACACUGCUUUGAAGUACACAGUUUAGCGAUUUGGACGCAUACCUUGUUGCUCCGGAAUCAAACAUAACAUCCCUACCGAAAAGUUGACGAAACAAAAAGGAGCAAGCAGGUAUGAUUUUCAAUACUCAUGCUUCCUACACUUUAUCUUGUCUGAAAAUUAAAUCUAUUUUUUACUAAACUGCGUUACCUACUCCAGUCAGCAGAUAGCGGUCUGAGGCUUUAAGGCAAUGCUGUUGGCGUGACGUACAAUCCAGUGGACGGAACUCUUCUUUCAACAGCAGCAACAGUUAGUCAGACACCUCGGUAGCUUGCUAGACAAAAUAGCCGAACCAAUAAAGCUCUUUAGACGCUUUCGUGCAUACUAGCCACUGUGUUUUAAACCCACUUCGUUAGUUAGUUUGUUAUCCGAUUUAAUUUCAUAUUUACUUUGUUGUUGUUAUUGGUCAGCUAGCGGGCUGGUUAAGUUAGCAUUAGCUAACGGGGAUGUUAGCCUAGCUAGCUAACAUCCCCAACCAUGAGUUCACUAAGCUACUCUCCUCCUGAUAAAGAAGUGAAAGAGGAGGAGGAUGUUACAUUACAAAAGCAAGUAGAGGGUGAGACUGUUACAGUGAAAGAAGAUGAGAAAGACGUUUCAGUGAAAGAGGAGGAUGUUACAGUAUAGGAAUGCAGUUUUUGGAGUGAAAGAGGGUGAGAUGGCUGUCACGUCGAAAAAGGAGGAGGAAGAAGGAGGAAACGAUAUCUGGGCCCGGUUUCCCAAAGGCAUCUUAAGUCCUCAAAUGGUUCUAACGAUGAACGUGCCCUGAUUAACACUAUGACACUGACUCCGAAUGGGAGCCCCCAGGGCCAAGGUGUCCAUCCCCCACUGAAGCUGGUUCAUCCAGAUCCUGCCACAAGCGGUGUUCAUCUGCCCAAAUUUAUUUAUGCAGGCAUGGAUGUGCCUCAGGGCCAAAAGGGCACAGCAUGGAGGCAUCACUGUGUUCUUUGCAAAAUGAAGUCCCCCCAUCACCUGCACCACAUGCUUGGUGACCCUCUGCUUUACAGCAGAAAGAGACUGCUAUGGCACCUGGCAUCAGCAGCACAAUAUUGUUUAGAGGACUGAGGGUCUUCCAAAUAUUGUGUUAUUUUGUAAAUGUAUUUUUUUUUCUCUAUUUUUGGGGUGUGUGUUAGAAUGGUAUUUUGUAUAUAGUUAUUCCAUUCAAAAUGUAUAACUUCACCAAUUUGGCCACUUGGGUACAUUUGGGCUACUUGUGUGGGACACCUGGGUGACUUCAUGAUAAAUGUCAUGUAGCACACAUUUUGGAAGUUAUCAUUCUGAAACUAUGCACAAGUACUGUUGCCCUCGUAUAUUUGUCACUGAAAUUGUCCCCAUCAUCCUAUCUGAAUGUUUGUUUUGUCUUGUUCAUUUUUGAAGAUAAAACAAUAAAAAUGCAUGUUUUUUUCAUUGUUUUAUUGAAACCAGAUCUAUUGUUCUCCUACAUUCAAUUCACAUUAACACUCAAGUUUGUAUUCUUUCAAAUGAAACCAACAAUAUGCAUAUCCUUUGUUCUAGGCCUGAGCUACAGGCUGUUAGAUUUGGGUAUGUCUUCAGGCGGAAAUUGAAAAAAGUAGGGGGGUAGCUGUAUUUAUUUAUUUUUUUCACCUUUGUUUAACCAUGUAGGCUUGUUUAGAACAAGUUCACAUUUACAACUGCGACCUGGCCAAGAUAAAGCAUCGCAGUGUGAACAGACAGAGUUACACAUGGAGUAAACAAGUCAAUAACACAGAAAAAGAGUCUAUAUACAUUUUGUGCAAAAGGCAUGAGGUAGGUGAAUUAUUACAAUUUAGCAGAUUAACACGAGUGAUAAAUUAUCAGAUGGUCAUGUGCAGGUAGAGAUACUGGUGUGCAAAAGAGCAGAAAAGUAAAUACAUAAACAGUAUGGGGAUGAGGUAGGUAAAUUGGGUGGGCUAUUUACCGAUGGACUAUGUACAGCUGCAGCGAUUGGUUAGCUGCUCAGAUAGCAGAUGUUUAAAGUUGGUGAGGGAGAUAAGUCUCCAACUUCAACCAUUUUUGCAAUUCGUUCCAGUCACAGGCAGCAGAGAACUGGAAGGAAAGGUGGCCAAAUGAGGUGUUGGCUUUAGGGAUGAUCAGUGAGAUACACCUGCUGGAGCACGUGCUACGGAUGGGUGUUGCCAUCGUGACCAGUGAACUGAGAUAAGGCGGAGCUUUAGGUAUGUGUUGUGAAAUUGUUAUAUAUUAUUGCACUGUUGGAGCUAGGAACACAAGCAUUUAGUUAGAUAUUACUGCACUGUUGGAUCUAGGAACACAAGCAUUUCACUACACCUGUAAUAAUAUAUGUAUGUGACAAAUAACAUUUGAUUUAUGAUGGUAAUUUGUGUAAAAUGUACUUUUCCCCACUCAUCUCUUUAUAUUGCUUAUGCAUAUUCAGUGGCCUGACUGCAUCCAGAGUAUGUCAAAGGCCCAUCCUGGUAGAUCUGAACCUAAUGCAGCUUGAGUGAUCGGAUGACAGAUGUCACAUUUAGAUGCCCGGUGUAACUGAGGCCAUAGACGCUCCAUAUCCAUUACUUUGAGUGUUUUAUAUAAUAUGACUAAAUGUGUUUAUUUCUGUGUUGCAGGGGCAGUCAAGAAUUGGAACAGCAAGGCCACAGAACAUGACAUAAGCAGAUCUGUGGGAGACCACCUCAAACUCCUGGUAGAGCUGGGGGUGGUGUUUACCACUCCUUCAGCAGACUGGGAAAGUGGGAUUGAUACUGUUUUUCAUACUAAGAGGGACCUAGAGUCAGUCGUUAUGUUCAUUUGUUGAAAUCAAAUCAAGCUUUAUUUAUACAGCACAUUUCAGACAUGGAUUCAACAGAAUGGCUUCACAGGAAAAAUAAUGAAAAUAUUUAGUACAUAAAACAGAAGACUAACAACUGAAAGACUAAAUGAGCAUUCUUAGGAAAUACCAUUGUUCCAAAUAUUAAUUGGAUGCAGUAUCCUACCCAAAAUAUUAGCUUGUUUUUUAGGACGGGCUCUUAAAGACACUAUGGGGGUGUCCACUGGAAGUUGACUAGUAACAACAACUGGGACAUAUGACACCCACCAUGAGACCCACUAAAUCUGCCCAAGAAGAGGCAAACAAAAGAAAAACCCACAAACUUUAAGACAGGAAGCAAACCAAAAAGGUGGAGCAACAACAAGUGUUGACUCUCUACAUCUAUCAAGACAACUGGAGCACUGGGCCAGAAACUCUUAAAUAGAAACUGGACCAGUUCAGGUGAACCACCUUCCCACUAAGGACAUGGACAAGUCAGCACAGUGGUAACACAUACUGACUAAUGAGGUGACACCAAUCAGUGCUAACGAGCGACAUGUUCUAACAAAUGACACAUGCUAACGAGCGACCUCAAAACAUAAAUGGAAAAACCAAAGCCUGUAACACCUUCCCCCUUAAGACAACAAAUAUAUCCUAUAUUUCUGUUGGACAAGUUCGCUCACCACCAACAGAAAACAACUUCCAUUUCACAUUAUAAUAUACUACAAUGCUUCACCUUCUGCAAUAUAAACACACACGGUGUCUACUGGCUGUCAACAAUUAAAAACAAGAGAAAACACAUAUUCCUAAAUAAUUAUUUUAUUUUUUUCUCCUUUUUCUUUCUAUAGAAUCCUAAAACUCACUAGCUUCUAGAACACUCAUCCACCUUGGAACGAGCCCAAACAAAACUCAAAUCAAAUUGUAUUAGUCACAUGCGCCGGAUACAACAGUGAAAUGCUUCCUUACGAGCCCCGAACCAACAAUGCAGUUUCAAUACAGAAAAGAAUAAGAGAUAAAACUCAAAAUAAAUCGUGAUCAUGGUAACACACUGGCUAAACGCAAAACACAAGUAUUUUUGACUGCCCACUCCAGAGGUAAUCAGCAACCAAGUUGUCCUUACCACGGACAUGUCUGAUUUCAAGUGGAAACUCCUGCGAUAUCCGUAGUAACUUUCCACCUCACUGCAGAGCUUCUCUCUUUAUUCAGGGUUCACUCGAUAGGCAUGUUGGAUCGGGGCCCAGUCCCUAAUGUCAUUCUCUCGUACAUUUGGUUUGGCACAUGUGAGAAUUAACCCUGAUAUUCUAAAAACAGGGCAACAAUGUCAAUAAUUGUACCAAAAAAAUGGUCAGUUGGUUGCAUUAAUAAAUAUCGCUACCAAAUGUUACAUGAAAUGUAAACAUUAAAUAUUUGAUUACAUAGUCAUAUUUUCAAUGUCUUUUCAAUGACAUUUUGCUUGGUGGGAUAGCCCAUUGUCAAAACAGUUUUAACGCGUCCAAAUCAAUAACCAAUAUGCAUUAACAGUUUGGGAUAAAUUGAAAACCUAAACAUAAAAUGUGCUAUAUACACAAACAUCUGCCACAAUAAUCACAUUACUUGUAUUUUUUAAAACAUGACGUUAGUGAGAGAGAUGUCUCCAACUUCAGCGAUUUUGCAAUUCGUUCCAGUCACAGGCAGCAGAGAACUGGAAGGAAAGGCGGCCAAAUGAGGUGUUGGCUUUAGGGAUGAUCAGUGAGAUACACCUGCUGGAGCGUGUGCUACGGGUGGGUGUUGCCAUCGUGACCAGUGAACUGAGAUAAGGUGGAGCUUUACCUAGCAUGGACUUGUAGAUGACCUGGAGCCAGUGAGUCUGGCGACGAAUAUGUAGGGAGGUUUUACUAGGUUUUACUAUGUAGGGAGGUUUUACGAGUUUUACUAGGGUAAGUUUGGCGGCGUGAGUGAAGGGGGCUUUGUUGCGGAAUAGAAAGCAGACUCUAGAUUUGAUUUUCGUUUGGAGAUGUUUGAUAUGAGUCUGGAAGGAGAGUUUACAGUCUAGCCAGACACCUAGGUACUUAUAGAUGUCCACAUAUUCAAGGUCGGAACCAUCCAGGGUGGUGAUGCUAGUCGGGCGUGCUGGUGCAGGCAGCGAACGGUUGAAAAGCAUGCAUUUGGUUUUACUAGCAUUUAAGAGCAGUUGGAGGCCACAGAAGGAGUGUUGUAAGGCGUUGAAGCUCGUUUGGAGGUUAGAUAGCACAGUGUCCAAGGAAGGGCCAGAAGUAUACAGAAUGGUGUCAUCUGCGUAGAGGUGGAUCAGGGAAUCGCCCGCAGCAUCAUUGAUAUAUACAGAGAAAAGAGUCGGCCCGAGAAUUUAACCCUGUGGCGCACCCCCAUAGAGACUGCCAGAAGACCGGGCAACAUGCCCUCCGAUUUGACACACUGAACUCUGUCUGCAAAGUAGUUGGUGAACCAGGCAAGGCAGUCAUUAMAAAAACUGAGGCUAUUGAGUCUGCCGAUAAGAAUAUGGUGAUUGACAGAGUCGAAAGCAUUGGCCAGGUCGAUGAAGACGGCUGCACAGUACUGUCUUUUAUCGAUGGCGGUUAUGAUAUCGUUUAGUACCUUGAGCGUGGCUGAGGUGCACCCGUGACCGGCUCUGAAACCAGAUUGCACAGCGGAGAAGGUACGGUGGGAUUCGAGAUGGUCAGUGAUCUGUUUGUUGACUAGGCUUUCGAAAACCUUAGAUAGGCAGGGCAGGAUGGAUAUAGGUCUGUAACAAUUUGGGUCCAGGGUGUCUCCCCCUUUGAAGAGGGGGAUGACUGCAGCAGCUUUCCAAUCCUUGGGGAUCUCAGGUGAUAUGAAAGAGAGGUUGAAACAGGCUGGUAAUAGGGGUUGCGACAAUGGCGGCGGAUAGUUUCAGAAAUAGAGGGUCCAGAUUGUCAAGACCAGCUGAUUUGUACGGGUCCAGGUUUUGCAGCUCUUUCAGAACAUCUGCUAUCUGGAUUUGGGUAAAGGAGAAGCUGGGGAGGCUUGGGCGAGUAGCUGCGGUGGGGGCGGAGCUGUUGGCCGAGGUUGGAGUAGCCAGGAGGAAGGCAUGGCCAGCCGUUGAGAAAUGCUUGUUGAAGUUUUCGAUUAUCAUAGUUUCUCAGUGGUGACGGUGUUACUAGCCUCAGUGCAGUGGUCAGCUGGGAGGAGGUGCUCCAUGGACUUUACAGGUGUCCCGAACUUUUGGCGUUAGAGCUACAGGAUGCAAAUUUGCGCUUGAAAAGAGCGCGGGCCUUUGCUUUCUGGUGA